rnacentral:lncRNA from 1 species
UUUUUUUUUUUUUUUUUUUUUUUUUUUCCCUUCCCUUUCACCCCCUUCCCUCCUCCUCCUCCUCCUCCUCUUUUUCCCUUCCUGGAUGCGUGGGGGCGGGCGGGAGCCGGGGAAGGUGGAGUCUGUGCCCGUAGUAUUCGGCACAUGGCUCUCGGAGCCCGGCACAGACCGCCCCGGACCCACGGCUGCUGCUCGGGGUGGCCCGGCCCGUCUGCGGCGCCGGGAACAGCACUGGGAGCGGCACCGGGAUGCAGCCGUGCCGUGCCAAGCGACCCUGGCGCUGCCCGCUGGUUUUCCCGGGUGGGGGCUGGUGCCCGGGGCAGGCGCUGGUGGUGCCCGAUGGGCACGGAGGACGGUCGGGGACGGGGAGCGGCCCUUGGGGAUGCGCUUGAAUGCCGACAGUGCGUUCUGCGAUGCGGCAAGCCUGGGCUGUCCCGGUCCCUGCUGUCCUUGCUGCAGUCUGAGGCGUGCAAGUACCUCUGUGUGUGCAAGUAACAUCUCACGGGUACCCUAAAACAUUAAAGCAACCUCCUCCCCAGCCUUUCCUUCAACUCCGUCCCCAACCUUCCCUCUCUCCUGCACCAGAGAAAGCACAUUUGCUUUGUUCUUUCCCGAAAGGGCAUAUAGCCCAAGCCCCAAAUAUCUGUAUUCGUGUCGUCCCAAAGUGAAGGCUGUUGAGCAGCUGACUGCAGGUCUGCACGCCGCCUCCGUCGGCAGCUGUGGCUCUCGAAGGCGGGCGGCCAGUCAGCCUCAGCAUCCAGCUCCUUCGUUCCUUCAUUACUUUAUUGUGAUCAACUCAAACGUGCUACAAGCAUGCUUGUCCUGUGAUAAUUUCAUCGACGGCUUAUGUAAGGGUUGGAUAACAGAUACAUGCAAACAGAGGAGCAUAUGGUUGUCGCAAGAUAGCAACACACACUUUCUUCAUAAAGCAUUACAAUGGCUUGUAUUGCAUUCCAGUUAUAGCUGAUGGGUGACUCACAAGCCAUCCCAAACUGUCACAAAAUAUUGUGAUGUCUCCUACAAUUUUAUCAAAACCUUGCUAAUUUGAUGAUUAAAAAAAGGAUUGAUCAGAAAGGAGAACCCGAUCCUAUUGUUGGAGGAAGCUAUGGACCUAGGUAUGUGUUCCUCUCAAAAGUGAUAUUUUGAACACUUGAACAUAUUGAACAUUUUGGAUUUAGUUCUGAAUCUUUGGCCUCAACUAACCCUGAGUACCACAACCCCCAAAUUUAGGCACCAAGUCUCUGGGGUGUGCUACUUUUUUUGUAAGGGACACUGCAUGGGUAGCAUCCUGAGCAGGAGCAGUGAGGAAGGGAAGGGGGAAUGAUGGAAGAAAGAAAUGUUUUCCAGAUCACACCUUCUUAGAGACAUAGGUGAGUGCUAUUUUGAAAUGGAUAGUCUCAUUUCAGUCUGCUCUCUUGAGAUUUACACUGAUUUUGUCUUUCUUAUCAGAGGGUACUUCUGUGCCUGUCCCUGUGGCAUGUCAAGGAUGGAUCAUUUGGAUAGAAAGUGGGUAGACCAGAGUGCUAAACUCUCUUCCCCAGAGAAAAGCCUAACUGACAUGUUUCAUCUAUUGGAAGGAUGCUCUGUACCCCUGUGGUUGCAAAGUGGCUCCUUCAAACUUCUGUUUUGGAGAGGAAGGCUGAAGAAUUUCAGGCCUGCCACCUCCAUUUGAUGGCAAUGCCUUUUCCUGACGGAAGGCAUUGUCUCUGCAGUGGCAACCAGUGAGAUGUCAGGACACUGGUGCACAUGGCUCCUGUGGAGGAGUUCCAGGCUUCUUUUACCACUUCUAAAAGAGUAAAGGACUUUUUGGAGGAGGACUCCUGAAAAAUGUCACAGCUCUGUAGCCUGGCAGUUGGUAUGUUACUGGAUGCUUACCCCUGUUCCAGGGACUACUACCAAAUGGUAAAUAGGUCAUGGAACUCAGGCUUCCCACCUUAGAACCAAGUAAGAUAUACACUGAGAUAUUUUUUUCCUCUUGCAUUUCUGAGGGGCAGCAGCUCAAAAACUCCGUAUGGCAGCCGAGCGCUGGUGUAUAUUUCCCAAAUUCAGCUUCUCACAGUACACAGGUCUGGGAAAGAGGACCACUACCAAAAUGCCAGAUGAGAUUCCAGAGGUUGGUUUAACUUAGGACAUUUUUUAUGACUGCAGAAGUGUGCACUCCUUUCACAAGAUUACUCUUGUGAUGGGAUAAAUUUCAAUCUGUUGGAAGCAUUAUUUUAAAUGAAGACACAGCUUCUGUUCUAGAGCUCCUCUACAGCUGACCCAGAGGGAAGUGUUACCCCUUCCCUUGUCCAUGUGUGCAUCUGAACGAUUUUGGCACCUGAAUUCUACAAAAUCAUUUUUUACAGUCUCUGCGAUCAGGAACACUUACAUGAAUAGUUGAGCCUAUCAACCUCCUUGCAUCAAAACUAGAGUGGUCAGGAUAGAUCGCAGGUCUUCCCAGGCCUGGCUCAUCCAGCUGAGCUCACUUUGUCACUUUGCAAAGUGCUUGACUGUGCCCACUACCCUAAAUACUCCCAUGAACCCAAACAGAUGCUCGUGGUCUAAUAUGCAGAAGCUGCCUCUGGGGGGUACUGUCUUUUGCAAAAAUCACACUGAAGGUUGGUUAAAAUAUUUCUUCUAUUGCAAGUGAAAAUAAACUAAUUUGAGAAAGCCAUAUACAAGAAGAAAAUUACUUUUCUAGUCUGAAGUGUACCUAUUUUUGAUAAUGAGUGGGGUACCACAGUACAAAGAUAAUUGGCACGUUAGAAGUACCUGGUUCUCUAGACCUAUUUAUACAUUUAGUAGUAAAUUUAAAUUAUGUGCACAACAUAAUAUGAAUUUUUUUCCAGUUACUUAUGUCCUCUUGAUCUGUGCUUAGCAAAACUUUAGGUGGAAGUAUGAGCUAUAGAAAUCCUGUGUGCUGGAGGAUAUGUGAAAAUGUUAAACAAAUUGAUUUUGCUGGUUGGAAUUUUUUUGUUUGAUGGAGAAGUGGUGGUUGGCUGAAGGAAAUAGCAAAGUUAAAAGGAAAACCAAAAAGGCACAUUCUGAAAGUUUGCUUCUGUCACUGUUUUUUCAAUCAUUUCCUUCUCCAAAUUCUCUUCCAACCAACCAGCUCUACCCAAGUGCAAGUAAAUGUUUUUAUUUCAGAGGUCACAGGCUUAUGUAAGCGGUUACAUGACAAGUGGUAAUAGGAGUGAUGGAGCAUGAUGGCUUUUUCACCCAGUGCACCAAGGUCUGCAAGAGAGACUCAUCACUUGUGGGUGUUCAGAGGUGGCAUGGAAUUUGGGGGUCCUGUUAACACAGGUGAUGGAGAGGCUUUCUUUGUAGAGAUUGAAGAGGGUGGGGGGGUGUUUGGACAAAAACAAAAGCUCAGCAGUUUAUCUUUCUGAAGAAUGGGAUUAGAGAAGCAGUGCCUCUACAUACUUGCCCUCAGAGGAAAGUUAACACGUGUAAAAUCCUCAUGUUGUCUUUAGUUUAGUUUAAAUGGUGUGGAUGCUGCUGCAAGGUAAGUGGACAGCAGGAUGUGAAAAGCCUGCCAGAAAGGCCACAGAUGUUGAGCUAAAGGUCUAAAAGGGUCCUGAGUAGUUUGUCAGGACAAGCUUAAAAUUACCUUUGCAGGUGAGUUGAAAACUUCACCCAGGAUUUGAGUUAGAGGCAAGAUUUGUGUUACACUGAGAGUUAACUCUGCGAGAAUAACCGGUCCUGAGUCACCAGUGUGAGUCACCAGGCUAGUUCUUGAGUGGCUUCUGCACAGUGCCUGCCUGCUUUGGGGACAAAAACAAGUUUUUUGUUGUCACUUGUAAUUGUUAGCGCUGCAAGACCUAGGCAGCUAGGGGAAGAAAAAGCAAAUGAAAUUGGUAUUUGUAAUUUUGACAGUCUUUGUUUUCUGAUGGCCAGGCUCAGUCAGGUAAUGCUGUUAUGCGAAGUUCAGCAAAGAUGUCUGGUGAUAAUGCUUCUGUAGGUGAGAACAGAGAUCAUUAUUACCAGUGGUCUUGGAUAUCACUAUCAGAUCCUCAUAGCCAGGCAGAGUGCCCAUAGCCUGUGAAUACUCUAAUCUUGCUGUGCAAGACUUGGGAGAAACAAUCCAAAUCCAGUCUUUAUAAACACUUUCUUUUUCCUUUACUUUUCAGAAGAGAAUUGCACUUCAGAAGGAGAAAGCAGCUGUAGCAUUGGAGAAAGAUUUGGAAUGUGAAUUUAAUAAUCCUUCUGUUUAGAAGGAGUGUCUGGCAGAAAAAAAGUUGGGGGAGUUGGAACAAAUUUCACUGAGAGCCAUAGUGAAGAAUGGAAAUUGGAUAAAGACAGUACAAAUUCUUUGCAAAAGACUAAUACUGCGUCUGGAUAGCAAGACCUGUUUUAGUGCCAGGCCCAAACCUUCAGUCUGUUGUAAAUUUAGCCUGAUUCUCAGAAAUGCUAAGUGCUUGUGCUUUUCACCGGUGAUUUUUGAGGAGUCUGAAUGUUUUGCUUGUUAAGGGUCAACUUUGCUAAUUGAAAUGUAGAAUUUUGACACUAAGACGAGUAUCACCUUCUUGGAAAAGCAGUGUUCCUUGGGUAGGAUUGGUCCUACCAAUUGGAUUGGUCCACACUUGCCUCUCUGUGCAGAACCGAAUUUUGCUUGCAUCAUUCCAGGAUAGUUGACAUGAAACCAAAUUCAAAUACAGUAGUGAGAAAGUGAGAGAAAUCUGUGAGCACUGACCAUCAUGGUUGGAGUGGUGCAUGUGACUGUGGGGCAGAGCCCACACACAGAAGAAGGUGCCCUCUGCAAAGAUGAAUUAGUGUCUCCUCAGAUCAGCUGAGGUGUGGAUGGUCAGGGCACCCAACCUGCCAAUUAUUUUGGAUGUCAGAGGUGUGGCAUGCAUGGUGUUUGUGUUUGUGUUGAAGAGUUCCUGAGAUCAUCAGUAAGCUGGUAGUGCACACAUGGGUGGUAGAACCAAUUUGAUAGUUGUUUGUCUAUUAAAGAAUUUAGGGCAUUCUAGUUAAGUCAAAACUGGCCUCUAUCAUUAUGCCAACUUAUUGCACCUUCACUAAGGAUACUUAAUAUUUUUCAUUGCUAGAUCCAUGCUAGAUCCGAUUCAGGCCAAGCAUUUCUUGGAAAACUGGUCAAAAUGGUUAUGCGAGCUCCAAGGGCAAGACCAUGAAAAACAUAUGCAUGCACAUGGCAGGGGGGCGGAGGGCUUGCACAUCCAGCAUGGAUUCCUCUUCACUUCUUUCUUGCAUCCUUGAAUUUUUAAAGUUCCUCAUUCAACUUAA